rnacentral:RNase_P_RNA from 1 species
UUUCGGAUAAUCGCGGAGUAUUUUUAGAUAUUCUGAGGAAAGUCCAUGCUCACACAAGCUGCGAUGCUUGUAGUGUUCGUGCUUAGCGAAACAAUAAGCUAAGGUAUAGUUUUUCUAUAACGGCGGAAGUAAUGGCUACGGAAUUGAUUCUAUGCCAAAGAAUUCCUUAACGUGCAACAGUGACGAUAAAUAAGAGAAAUCUUAUUGUGAAACGGGUAAACCCCUCGAGUGAGCAACCCAAAUUAUGGUAGGGGCGCCUUUUGAACGGAAAUGAACGGGUCAAAGGGGCAUUAAAUGCAGAUAGAUGAUUAUCCAUAUCUUUUUUCCCUGGAAAAGAUAGGACAAAACAUGGCUUAUAG